rnacentral:rRNA from 1 species
GCGAAGGCAGCCCCCUGGGCCAAUACUGACGCUCAUGCACGAAAGCGUGGGUAGCAAACAGGAUUAGAUACCCUGGUAGUCCACGCCCUAAACGAUGUCAACUAGGUGUUGGGUGGGUAAAACCAUUUAGUACCGGAGCUAACGCGUGAAGUUGACCGCCUGGGGAGUACGGCCGCAAGGUUAAAACUCAAAGGAAUUGACGGGGACCCGCACAAGCGGUGGAUGAUGUGGAUUAAUUCGAUGCAACGCGAAAAACCUUACCUACCCUUGACAUGUCCAGAAGCUCUUAGAGAUUUGAGUGUGCCCGAAAGGGAACUGGAACACAGGUGCUGCAUGGCUGUCGUCAGCUCGUGUCGUGAGAUGUUGGGUUAAGUCCCGCAACGAGCGCAACCCUUGUCGUUAAUUGCCAUCAUUCAGUUGGGCACUUUAACGAGACUGCCGGUGACAAACCGGAGGAAGGUGGGGAUGACGUCAAGUCCUCAUGGCCCUUAUGGGUAGGGCUUCACACGUCAUACAAUGGUCGGUACAAAGGGUUGCCAACCCGCGAGGGGGAGCUAAUCCCAGAAAGCCGAUCGUAGUCCGGAUCGUAGGCUGCAACUCGCCUGCGUGAAGUCGGAAUCGCUAGUAAUCGUGGAUCAGCAUGUCACGGUGAAUACGCUCCCGGGUCUUGUACACACCGCCCGUCAC